rnacentral:ncRNA from 1 species
UCGUAAGCGAAGAAGAGGAGUAGUAGUCUUCCGGCGUCCAAAGAGAGUUGACGGGGGUGCGAGUCAACAGGCGCAAGAAGGUGAACUCGCCUCGGAGCUCAUGGGGAUGAAUUUUUUAGUUCCCAUCGUCAUUCCUCGUUACGGAACUCAAGUGACCGACGGCAAGUCUUCUCAAGCGGUGAUGUGUGGGUUCACACGGAGCACACCGCGAAGGCGAAAGGUCGGUAAGAAGGGUGGUACCACGGGUUCAACCUCUCGUCCCUUGC